UAUUAUGCCAUUCACACUCGCUAUAUCUCUUACAUAUUGCUGCGAUUUGAUGUGUACCUUUAACACGACCAUUACGGCCAAGACAAAAGAUUUGAGGCGGACCAAGGAGCGCGAUAGGCCUCACGAUCAAUGAAAUGCCUGUACCAUCGCUCACGAAACCUACGGUCUGCUUGAGGGUUUUAGUCAUGACGAAAUUGGGAAUUAUCUGUUUAGCAGUCGGGCUUCUAAUGGUUGUGAACAAGGUUCACGCUGAAUGUAAAGCAGGCCAAAAGCAUCGCACUGAUGGAGGAAUAAGAUGCUGUUGGAAAAUAACGGCAGAUGACCCAUGUGGACCAGGACAUGAGGUCAAAACAUG